rnacentral:rRNA from 1 species
GACGAACGCUGGCGGCGUGCUUAACACAUGCAAGUCGAACGGAAAGGCCCUGCUUUUGUGGGGUGCUCGAGUGGCGAACGGGUGAGUAACACGUGAGUAACCUGCCCUUGACUUUGGGAUAACUUCAGGAAACUGGGGCUAAUACCGGAUAGGAGCUCCUGCUGCAUGGUGGGGGUUGGAAAGUUUCGGCGGUUGGGGAUGGACUCGCGGCUUAUCAGCUUGUUGGUGGGGUAGUGGCUUACCAAGGCUUUGACGGGUAGCCGGCCUGAGAGGGUGACCGGCCACAUUGGGACUGAGAUACGGCCCAGACUCCUACGGCAGGCAGCAGUGGGGAAUAUUGCACAAUGGGCGGAAGCCUGAUGCAGCAACGCCGCGUGCGGGAUGACGGCCUUCGGGUUGUAAACCGCUUUCGCCUGUGACGAAGCGUGAGCGACGGUAAUGGGUAAAGAAGCACCGGCUAACUACGUG